rnacentral:lncRNA from 1 species
UGCAUUUUCAGUAUGUCUGGAAAAUGGGCCAGAGAAGGGUCACACAUGUGAGAAUGCAGAAUGAGGAUGGGGAGGAGGCUGGCCAUGGGAGCAUCCAUAUUAGUCUUUUAUUUGGCAGGGACAGCUCAAAUGAAUAAACCUGAAGAUCUAAAUGACUUUAUUAAUGGAUUCCUGAAUCAGGCAGCAUCCCAUCUUGCAAGUAGAGGGGAGCUCCAAAGCGCUACAGAAAAGGAAAGGGUUUUAAAGGGAGUCCAUUUAACGAAACAUAUGAAGUAUGGAAAGAAUCAUCAGACUUCAGAGUGAUGUCAAGAAAUAGUGACCUAGUGCAUAACUCUCCGCCAGAUCAGGAACUGAGGCCUGUAGUAUGUACGUUACCCACCAAGUAUGUUAAAAUAUAGUGUAUUAAUAGAAGAUUUGAAGCUUAG